UAACGGUAUCUGGCAGUGUUGGUCUGGGCCCACCAGAGAACCUCACAUACAGGGUCCAUGCUAAGACUCAUGGAACAUGGGAUAUAUUAUCCAACUAUGCAUUUAAACCAGUCAAAAAAGCACCCAAGCAGAAUGUUAAUGGAAACUGAGUAUCACCAGUUGGGUGUAACGGUAUCUGGCAGUGUUGGUCUGGGCCCACCAGAGAACCUCACAUACAGGGUCCAUGCUAAGACUCAUGGAACAUGGGAUAUAUUAUCCAAAUAUGCAUUUAAACCAGUAAUAAAAGCACCCAUGCAAAAUGUUAAUGGAAACCAGCUAUCACCAGUUGG